rnacentral:rRNA from 1 species
ACGUACGGGGUGAACUACGGCCGGAUCGCGGACAACCUGCCGCCGCCGACGGAGGUGGUGAAGCUGCUCCAGAUGGCGCGGAUCAAGAACGUCCGCAUCUUCGACUCGGACCACACCGUGCUGGACGCGUUCCGCAACUCCGGGCUCAACCUCGCCAUCGCCAUCCCCAACGGCCUCGUCAAGGACAUCUCCGCCACCCCGAGCAAGGCCAUGGACUGGGUGAACGAGAACGUGCGGCCCUACUACCCGGCCACCCGCAUCGUGGCCAUCAUCGUGGGCAACGAGAUCCUGGGCGGGCAGGACACGGGGCUCGCCGAGGCGCUCUUCGGCGCCGUCGUCAACAUCCACGACGCGCUCCGCGCGAUGCGCCUGUCCGGCAGGAUCGAGGUGAACACGCCGCACUCGGAGGCGGUGUUCGG